UGACACUGCAUGUCCAGAUAAUUAAAAAUAUCCAUGAUUAAAAAGAUAUGAAUUUUGUAACACCAUCUCGAUUUUUCCGUCUAAGAUACAAGAAGAGGAAUUAUACUUGAAAAAUCCUAUGUAGCAAGAAUAGCGGAAACCUUUUGGUAAUUUCAUGUGGCUAGGUAAUAUGGAAUGAUCAUGAACAAAACAUAGACUGGCCAGAAAUUAUUGAUCUAGUUCGUUCUUUUUCCCUGAAGCAGAUACACAAUGCAAUUAAACAAAACCAAUGAUAAUUCAAAGCGCGUAAACACAAACAGCUCUACUACAAAAGGGAAAGUUUAUUAAACACAAAUAUCACGGCAAGAUAUCCAUUGGUGACAUUCAUUCACGCGAAACCAUCACGACUUGCUUUCCAAUAUUGCGACCAGAGAAGAGACCAACUAGAGCAGUGGGAGCACUUUCAAGGCCAUGGGCAACAUCUUCCACAUAAACAACCUUGCCUGCCUUUAUUUGAGGAAUGACCAUUUCCAAAUAUUUGGGGUAAAGAUGAUAGUAAUCAAAAACAAGAAAUCCUUCCAUGCGGAUUCGUUUUGUGAUGAGGCAAAACAAGUUGUGCACUCCUUCAGUCUGCUCAAGGUUGUAUUGCGAAAUCAUCCCACACACAGCAAUACGGCCAUAGAGUUUCAUGUUCACAAGAACUGCAUCAAGCAUCUUCCCUCCCACAUUCUCAAAGUAGAUGUCAAUUCCAUCAGGGAAGUACCUAAUAAGAAACCAGUAUUUCCAGUCACUUGUGAAUAUUAUAGAAAGACUUGACAAAACUAGGAUGCCUACGAAAACUAUCUUCAUAAUAUCAUCAUAC
rnacentral:lncRNA from 1 species